rnacentral:rRNA from 1 species
AGAACGAACGCUGGCGGCAUGCCUAAUACAUGCAAGUCGAACGAACUCUUCGGAGUUAGUGGCGCACGGGUGCGUAACGCGUGGGAAUCUGCCCCUUGGUUCGGAAUAACAGUUGGAAACGACUGCUAAUACCGGAUGAUGACGAAAGUCCAAAGAUUUAUCGCCAAGGGAUGAGCCCGCGUAGGAUUAGCUAGUUGGUGAGGUAAAGGCUCACCAAGGCAACGAUCCUUAGCUGGUCUGAGAGGAUGAUCAGCCACACUGGGACUGAGACACGGCCCAGACUCCUACGGGAGGCAGCAGUAGGGAAUAUUGGACAAUGGGCGAAAGCCUGAUCCAGCAAUGCCGCGUGAGUGAUGAAGGCCUUAGGGUUGUAAAGCUUCUUUACCGAGAUGAUAAUGACAGUAUCGGAGAAUAACGCCCGGCUAACUCCGCGCCAGCAGCCGC